rnacentral:rRNA from 1 species
CCUACGGGAGGCAGCAGUGGGGAAUCUUGCGCAAUGGGCGAAAGCCUGACGCAGCAACGCCGCGUGCGGGAAGAAGGCUUUCGGGCUGUAAACCGCUUUCAGCAGGAACGAAAAUGACGGUACCUGCAGAAGAAGGAGCGGCCAACUAUGUGCCAGCAGCCGCGGUGAUACAUAGGCUUCAAGCGUUGUCCGGAUUUAUUGGGCGUAAAGAGUUCGUAGGCGGUCGAGUAAGUCGGGUGUGAAAAUUCUGGGCUCAACCCAGAGACGCCACCCGAUACUGCUUGACUUGAGUUCGAUAGGGGAGUGGGGAAUUCCUAGUGUAGCGGUGAAAUGCGCAGAUAUUAGGAGGAACACCGGUGGCGAAGGCGCCACUCUGGAUCGAUACUGACGCUGAGGAACGAAAGCAUGGGUAGCAAACAGGAUUAGAUACCCUGGUAGUCCAUGCCGUAAACGGUGGGCACUAGGUGUGGGUUUCCUAUUAACGAAAUCCGCGCCGUCGCUAACGCAUUAAGUGCCCCGCCUGGGGAGUACGGUCGCAGACUAAACUACAAGAAGUAGACGGCGUGAGACGUGCCGACGGACGACGACGAGGGAGUAGG